GACGAACCAUGCAAGCGUUAUUCGGAAUUACUGGGCUUAAAGCGUGCGUAGGCGGCUCAGAAAGUUGGGUGUGAAAUACCUCGGCUUAACCGAGGAAUUGCGCCCAAAACUACUGGGCUUGAGGGAGUUAGAGGUGAGCGGAACUCACGGUGGAGCGGUGAAAUGCGUUGAUAUCGUGAGGAACACCGGAGGCGAAAGCGGCUCACUGGGGCGUCACUGACGCUGAGGCACGAAAGCUAGGGGAGCAAACGGG
rnacentral:rRNA from 1 species